AGCGAACGCUGGCGGCGUGCCUAACACAUGCAAGUCGAACGUGAAAGGGAGCAAUCCCAAGCUAAGUGGCGUACGGGUGAGUAACACGUAGGUAAUCUACCCCAGAAUCUGGAAUAACCGGCCGAAAGGCUGGCUAAUACUGGAUAGAGCGACGGAAUCCGUAAUUGGGUUUUUCGGGAAAGGGAGCCUGUAAGAAGGCCUUCGUUCUGGGAUGAGCCUGCGUCCCAUCAGCUGGUUGGGGAGGUAAAAGCUUACCAAGGCAAAGACGGGUAGCUGGUCGUGGAGGGCGAUUCGCCACAACUGAACUGGAACACGGGCCAGGCUCCCACGGGAGGCAGCAGGGAGGAAACCUGCGCAAAGGACGAAAGGCUGACGCAGCAACGCCGGGGGGGUGAAUAAGGGCCUCGGGUUGUAAAGCUCUUGCGAGUGGGACGAAAAUGCUGGGAAUUCACAGCUGCAGGAACUGACGGUACCAAUAAAGGAAGCACCGGCUAACUCCGUG
rnacentral:rRNA from 1 species